rnacentral:tRNA from 1 species
GGGGUGUUAGCUUAGCUGGGAGAGCACCUGCCUUGCACGCAGGGGGUCAUCGGUUCGAUCCCGAUACGCUCCACCA